ACGCUCGACACCUACGGGGGGCAGCAGUGGGGAAUAUUGCACAAUGGGGGAAACCCUGAUGCAGCGACGCCGCGUGAGUGAAGAAGUAUUUCGGUAUGUAAAGCUCUAUCAGCAGGGAAGAAGAUGACGGUACCUGAGUAAGAAGCCCCGGCUAACUACGUGCCANCAGCCGCGGUAAUCUGAGCGGGCUGGCAAGGC
rnacentral:rRNA from 1 species